rfam:Perkinsus marinus ATCC 50983 gcontig_1104296730488, whole genome shotgun sequence.
GCCUCGGUAGCUCAGUCGGCAGCGCGAGUGCUUUUUAAGCCCGAGGCCGCGGGUUUCAGCCCCGCUCGAGGUA